UUUCAGAGACAGGCACAGCUACGGUAUAAUCACCAAAACUCACGAACCGCCAAUAAGUGAAUGCUCCAAACUCCCGAAUGGCAUCCAAUAUAGCACUCCAAAUACACGAACAGGAACCAUACGAAUUGCUGCUACCAGACGAAUAGGAAAAGCAUCCAAGCGGCUUACACUCCUAGCAAUCAGUCUCUAUCAGCAUUCAGUAAAUCCCCCCAAAGACGAGACAAGGCUCCGUGUUGAGGUUCAAGCAGUGGUC